CCUACGGGGGGCAGCAGUGGGGAAUAUUGCACAAUGGGGGAAACCCUGAUGCAGCAACGCCGCGUGAAGGAAGACGGUUUUCGGAUUGUAAACUUCUGUUCUUAGUGAAGAAUAAUGACGGUAGCUAAGCAGCAAGCCACGGCUCACUACGUGCCAGCAGCCGCGGUAAUACGUAGGUGGCAAGCGUUGUGCGGAAUUACUGGGUGUAAAGGGAGCGCAGGCGGGAAGCCAAGUCAGCUGUGAAAACUACGGGCUUAAAUUGUAGACUGCAGUUGAAACUGGUUUUCUUGAGUGAAGGAGAGGUAGGCGGAAUGCCGAGUGUAGCGGUGAAAUGCGUAGAUAUUGGGAGGAACUCCGGUGGCGAAGGCGGCCAACUGGCGUUUAACUGACGCUGAGGCACGAAAGUGUGGGGAGCGAACAGGAUUAGAUACCCCUGUAGUC
rnacentral:rRNA from 1 species